rnacentral:rRNA from 1 species
GGGCCCGCACAAGCGGUGGAGUAUGUGGUUUAAUUCGAUGCAACGCGAAGAACCUUACCAGGGCUUAAAUGUAAGUUGCAUAAGCUAGAGAUAGCUUUUUCUUCGGACUACUUACAAGGUGCUGCAUGGUUGUCGUCAGCUCGUGCCGUGAGGUGUCAGGUUAAGUCCUAUAACGAGCGCAACCCCUGUUGUUAGUUGCCAUCGAGUAAUGUCGGGAACUCUAACAAGACUGCCGGUGCAAACCGUGAGGAAGGUGGGGAUGACGUCAAGUCCUCAUGGCCCUUACGUGGUGGGCUACACACGUGCUACAAUGGUCGGUACAGAGAGCAGCCACUACGCGAGUAGGAGCGAAUCUUCAAAGCCGAUCACAGUUCGGAUCGGAGUCUGCAACUCGACUCCGUG